CAUCGGAGGUUGGAAUUUCGCAGAAUUUCGAUGAGAGAUUUGAACGCGAGGAUGGCGACAGAUGACGGAGCUAGAGGAACGACGAUGUCGCGAGGAUGAUUAUGACCGUACUCCGAUUAAGUAGUUGAGUAAUAUAUGUAUUGAAUUAGACAGAAUUAUUGAUCAUUUGUUGAUUAACAUGAAUGCAACAGCUCGAGGAUUGAAAUGAAAUGUCCUGCCAAAAAAAAACUCGAUAAAAUUGUAUAAGAAAGAAAAACAUCCUUAAAAUUCUAUCAUUAUUGGAUGGACAGAGGACGAAUGGAUGGCAACGAACAGAUGUGAACUCGGUCGAUCUCGAUUUUGAUUUUAUUUCCUUCCUCACACGUAAUGUGCAACACGUUCCGUAGCCC
rnacentral:lncRNA from 13 species